UGAAUGCGCAUGCGAAUGAGAGAAGAGGAGUCUCCCAGAGGCCGCCUUAGGAGUGCUGGCUAGGAACUGGGAGGGUGGCCGGGCCCCAGUGUUCCCUCCUUUCCACCCCAGUGCUAUCCGCAAUAGGAGAGCAUCCUGGGGCAUUGGCCAUGACGGAUCUGCACGCCCUACCAAGCGCUGGCAGAGAAUGUUGACUGACUUGGUGUAUGCAUCUGUACAGGGCCUCAGCCAGGGCCAAGGCAGGGCAGAUGCGAAUGGGAGGACCCAAUGAGACGAGCACCCCUCCCUUUCCAACUGUAUCUUCACAUCCAUUCCCAAGAUUUUGUCUGGAGAAGAGGAAUCCCUGGUCUACACUGGCCCUGGGCUGAAAGCUCUUCGGUCCACUCCACACAGCCUCAGCAGGAUUCUGCUUCCUAAGUGAUGGCCAAACUCCCAGGAUGGGACACAGAAGCCCUUGGACAACAGACAGUUCUGGAUCCAAGACUCCUUCCACCAGUUACCGGACAAGUUCUUUAUCCUUCCGUGGUCCCAGUUUCCUAUAAAUGGGCUUUCUAGGAUGGGAACAGAGACAUGAAAGGGUUCAGUCAAGGUCCUCCAGCAAGGAAAUAGGCAACAUUGCCUUUGACAGGGCAAUGCUCAUAUCUUCUAAGAUACGGCAGGGGCCAUGUCUGUAUGGAGCUGCAAGAGGGGUAUUGUGCAUGGGUCACAUUCAUGGGCUCUGCCUUGGCUCCUUGUCUGUGUGACCUUGGACAAGAAACAAACUGCACUGUAGAACCUGCAUAGCAGCACCCACACAGCAGCUCUGGAGGUUGACUGGCUUGAUUCAUGGCCUCUAGGCGCUAUUGUCAUCUAGCUCAGCCUCCUCAUUUUGCAAAGAUACAGUGUCUUGAUCAGUGUAGCAUGGCUGGCUAGUGUCCCAGUCCCCUUAGAUUGUGUCUUAGACCGAGAGGCCUGUCUCAGAGCCCAUCUCUGGCAGCUUCCAUCUUCCUGACAGAUGAGGCAAGAAACCUAGAGAGACAGUGACCUGUUGAGGGCACCUAGCCUGAUGGAGGGAGAGGUGUCUCUGAUAUUUGGGGAACAGAGGAUCAAGACAGGCUAGGAAGAGCCAGGCUGCCCAACAAGGUUUUCUGCGGGGUGGAUGAUGCAUUUUUGCCAGUGUGUUGGCCCCAGGACCUUGCCAAUUGGUUUUUAUAAGCUUAGUCAUCUAAUGGUGCCAUUAAAGACCCUGAAGGGUAGGUGUUUCCCAUUAAAUUAUCACAAUUAGUUGUCCCACUUAGCCAAUGACAGCCUUAAACCUUUGGGAGAUGCCCCAGGUCACAAAAUUAGUGACCAGCAGGGUUGGGAUGCAGGCCUACAGAACCGUGCAGAUUCUGUCCACUUUUGUGCUGGACCUCCUACUCCUCCCCUCUCGGCCUUCUCGGAAAGGCCAUCUCUGUAGGUCCCUCGACCUGCUGUCCAACCUCUGCUUGAAUCCCUUGUAACUGGGAACUCAUUCCUUCCUGAGAUAGUUCUGUUCUUUCUACCUGUCAGAAUCCUUACAACCCUACCCAUUCUAACUAGCUCUGCAGAGACCUACACCCCACACUGAUGCCUGGGAGAAGAGUGGUCUCUGAAAGGAUCAGAAACCCCAUCAUUACUGUUCCUAUGUGUACAGUUCCUGUGUUACAGUGUUUCCUAGGUGAGACUCAAUGAUCAUUCUCUCUCUCUCUCUCUCUCUCUCUCUCUCAUCAGUUUGGCUGCCCUUGAACUACGGAGUCAAAUGUUUCUCCCAUCUCAGCCUACCAAGUGCUGGGACUACAGGUGUUGUGUUUGAAUGUGAAAGCCCCCCCCCAAUAGCCCAUGUGUUUUAACACUUAUUUUCCAGCUGAAGGUGCUGUUUUGGAGGUUGUAGAACUUUUAGGAAGUGAAAUCUAGGAGGAAGUAGGUCAUUUGGAGAAGGCCUUGAGAUUGUAUAGCCCAGUGCCACUUCCUGCCCACCCGGUGCUUCCUAACUACAGACUCAGUGUGACUCGCCAUCUGGUGACCCUGCUACCAUAUUUUCCCUCCAUCAUGGGCUGUGUCCUUUCUCAAACUGUAAGUAAAAACAAACCAUUUCUAAAUAGCAGCUUGUCAUAGCAAUGAUAAAAGUCACUAGUAGAGAAAAUUGGUAUCAUGAGCAGGGUUUUCUCUAUCAUAAACCUGACCAGGUGGUUCUGAGGUCAUUGGAAUUGGUUUGCAGGAGGAGUGUGGGAGAACUUGGGGCUAUGGACUAAAGGACCCCCUAGAAAGCUGUAAGCAGAGCUCAAAGGGACAUUCUGGAGUGAGUUUGGAGGACAAGAAUGCCAAGAGAAGAAAAUAGAGGCCUAGGUCACGAGGUUUCAGAGGGGAACAAAGACUAUCGAUUAGUGAGCUAGAAGUCAUUUGUAUUACAUCCCAACAAAGACUCUGGGUGCAUUCUGCCCACGUUCUAGAGGCCAAAUAAAGUCAAACUAAAAGAAUAGAGAACUAAUUUGUUUGGUAGAAGAAGUCUCAAGACAAGAUAUAACAGUCUUCAGGUUUUGUCAUGGUUACUGCUCACUGCUUGUAUCCAGGUCUACAGUGAGAGGAGGAACAAGAGAAGCAGAAAGAUAUGAAAAUGUAUAGUUUAGUGGGGGGAAGGAGGGCAUUUACAGUUGCAGGCAAGACACAUGCAAGAGCAGUUGUUGUUGAAAGGGUCACCCCCAAUUAAAGAGAAAACCUAGUGCUGUGCCCUGGGAAGAUUACAAAAAAAUAAAAAUAAAAAUAAAAGGUACCCUGAGGGUAAGUGUUGGGAACCCUGCAGCCUAGUCUCAGAUCAGCAUGUGACUACCCAUCCAACAGGUUUUUUCAGGGCAAGACACCUGUGGAAAUGGACUCUCACUUGGCAAGGACCAGUAGUCCAGGGGACAGGGUAGAAAUUUGCAAAAUUCAUGCAUCUUGCAGGCUCUUUUCUCUCUCAUUAUAUUGGUGAUUCUUUGGGUGGUUUUAGUUUUACUUUGUCAGUCACAUGUGCAACAGCUGUAAUUUUCCCUGGAAAUUCUGUUCCCUUUCAAAUAUUUUCACCUAAGAUUCAACAGGGAGCUAAUGCUUCUCAAAUCUCUUAUCUGGAAAUACUAACUACACCUCCUAAUCCUGGGAUAUUUUCUGACUCAAUAGAGAUAGGUAGGUAGGUAUGAGAAAGCAACACUUGGAUCAUUAACCAUGUCACACACUUCUGGGAAGGAGAAUAAGGUACUCGUACACAGAAUAGGGGGAAAGUCUCAGGAAUAAACAUAGUGCUAACUGUUGAGAGUGAGUUCCCUGGACACCAAGCAUAUAGAACCAAUGAUAGGAUCCAGUAUAACCCAAUGGGAAAAAUGCAAUAUAAAAUAUGGUAUGGAAAGAUCCAUCUUUACCAUACACAGGAGCUUAUAAUGGUGGAAGAAGUAUGGUAUAGUGAGAUGGCAAAAGAGUGCUUUGUCACAGUCUGCCUUUUUCAGAGAGAUUGAGACUUGGGACCCUCUUGUAGAAAAGGGAACUGUAUAAAAAUAUAUCUUGCAGACAUGAAAUAAUUGUCUAGGUUUGAACAUUGUUGUCCUUAAAGCAUUGUGCCCAUGUCUAUUACUUUUUAACUUUGUAACCACAAGUACCUGCCAGCUGACAUAAAUACUGCAAGAGCAGAAUGUCUCUGGCUUGAUAUUUAGUUAAGCCUGCAAAAAUGAUGAACUCUAUGUCUAGAAUAAGGUUAUGCAGCGGGUGGAAAGGUGUAUUGGGGAAGCAUAAAGGGGGGUUAUGGGGGCUUUCAUGAUGAUCAUGAUGUGUUCUUUAAAUUGUGAUGUAUUUCUUAAAGUCAAAAAUAGAAGCCAAUAACAAAGCUGUUCAUGUAACCCUGGAAAGAAAAACUGUUUAAGUAUAAAUAAAAAUGGCCUGAGCUAUAUGGGGCCACUUGAGUGCAAUCCA